UUGAAAGGGAAACGAUUGAAGUCAGUCAUGCUGGUGGGAAUCAACUUAGGGGAAACUCUAGGUGCACUUCUUCGCUUGGCAGGUUAACGUCGAUCUUGAAUGCCAUAAAAUAAUUGGGGGAAGGUAGCUCCUUCGGGAGUGUUAUAGCCCUUGAUAGAUGUGAUGUUUGGGGUCGAGGAUUGCAACGGAUACCCUUUGGGGCUAGCCGCCUGAUCUCUAAUCGGUGUUGGGUUACGGAUAGCAUGCUGACCGUGAUCUAAUUACUGGUUAAAAGGUUNGAGCGUGCAUAAAUUCGUUAAGGAUGUUGACGUA
rnacentral:rRNA from 1 species